GUGAACCGUUUGCCCAGGGAAUGAGAGGAUAUUAACAGAACACAUAGUGGUGUGUAUACUUUAUAUCCCGAUUCAUAUACUCCUGUAAGAACAUUUUAUAUAAUGACAAAAACCGAGAAGUGGACAGUAAGUUUGUCAAUUCAUUUUUACUAUGAAUAUGCUCAACAAACUGUUAAUAUAUCCGAUUCGACUAAAACAUAACUUUGUAAUAAAAAACCGUUAUUGGUUGGUAUGAAAUAAGAGUAGAAAUGUCCAUGAGCAUUAGUAGAUUAUAAUUCCACUGUCAAUUCACGUUAUUUUAAAGAGGAAUUUGUUCAAAGAUAUAUAAAUGAAGACCAAAAUACAUUUAUUACAAGACUAUGCAUAUAACCUUUUACAGAAUAUAUACAUAUACUCUAUCUUUGAUUGUUGCUUCUUACGGGAAAUAGAAAAAAGUAGCCCAGGAUCUUUAAUGCUUUUAGAUCAACAACAUAAGACAAUAUUGAGGCAACAAGAUCAAUGAUUGAGAAAAAAAAAUAUCAGAAAAUUGAAAAAAAAUAUAUUUGUAUUCAUAAAAUCUAUAUAUAAACACUUGAAAGCUUAUUUGAGCUUCCGGAUCAAGGUUAUACAGAAAAGAUUGAAUGGUUUUGUGGAUUUCUAUAGAAGUUGGGAUGCUUACAAGCAAGGCUUUGGUGACCCUGCAGGCGAAUAUUGGCUGGG
rnacentral:lncRNA from 1 species